AGAAAGGUAGUCCAACGAAGACAGUUGAUAUCGACACAACAAAUCAUAGCUCGACCCUAUGUCUCUCUC
rnacentral:tRNA from 1 species